UUAUGAAUAAGGAUCGGCUAACUCCGUGCCAGCAGCCGCGGUAAUACGGAGGAUCCGAGCGUUAUCCGGAUUUAUUGGGUUUAAAGGGAGCGUAGAUGGAUGUUUAAGUCAGUUGUGAAAGUUUGCGGCUCAACCGUAAAAUUGCAGUUGAUACUGGAUAUCUUGAGUGCAGUUGAGGCAGGCGGAAUUCGUGGUGUAGCGGUGAAAUGCUUAGAUAUCACGAAGAACUCCGAUUGCGAAGGCAGCCUGCUAAGCUGCAACUGACAUUGAGGCUCGAAAGUGUGGGUAUCAAACAGGAUUAGAUACCCUGGUAGUCCACACGGUAAACGAUGAAUACUCGCUGUUUGCGAUAUACGGCAAGCGGCCAAGCGAAAGCGUUAAGUAUUCCACCUGGGGAGUACGCCGGCAACGGUGAAACUCAAAGGAAUUGACGGGGGCCCGCACAAGCGGAGGAACAUGUGGUUUAAUUCGAUGAUACGCGAGGAACCUUACCCGGGCUUAAAUUGCAGAUGAAUUACGGUGAAAGCCGUAAGCCGCAAGGCAUCUGUGAAGGUGCUGCAUGGUUGUCGUCAGCUCGUGCCGUGAGGUGUCGGCUUAAGUGCCAUAACGAGCGCAACCCUUGUUGUCAGUUACUAACAGGUUUUGCUGAGGACUCUGACAAGACUGCCAUCGUAAGAUGUGAGGAAGGUGGGGAUGACGUCAAAUCAGCACGGCCCUUACGUCCGGGGCUACACACGUGUUACAAUGGGGGGUACAGAAGGCAGCUACCUGGUGACAGGAUGCUAAUCCCAAAAACCUCUCUCAGUUCGGAUCGAAGUCUGCAACCCGACUUCGUGAAGCUGGAUUCGCUAGUAAUCGCGCAUCAGCCACGGCGCGGUGAAUACGUUCCCGGGCCUUGUACACACCGCCCGUCAAGCCAUGGGAGCCGGGGGUACCUGAAGUGCGUAACCGCGAGGAGCGCCCUAGGGUAAAACUGGUGACUGGGGCUAAGUCGUAACAAGUUAGCCGUACCGGAAGGUGCGGCUG
rnacentral:rRNA from 1 species